GGGGGGGAGGGGGAGAGAGGAUCUGUAUUCAACCACUUUCAUCUGGGUUGCUUCUUGCUUGUUACUGAGCCAUUCAAGAUUAAUGGUGUUCCUUUGAGACGUGUGAAUCAGUCCUAUGUGAUUGGCCUUCUACCAAGGUCGAUAUUUCUGGGGUUAAUGUGGAAAAAUUUGAUGACAAGUAUUUUGGAAAGGCCGUGGAAAAGAAGAAGAAGAAGGGGGAGGGAGAGUUUUUUGAGGCAGAGAAAGAGGACAAGAAAGUGUUCCCACAAGAGAGGAAAGAUGAUCAGAAGAGUGUGGAUGCUUCGUUGAUAAAGUCCAUUGACGCUGUCCCAGACUUGAAGACAUACUUAGCUGCAAGAUUCUCUCUGAUGUCUGGCAUGUCUUUUAGACAGUCAGCUCUUUUCUUACUUAGGAUACUUGUUCCCAUUCUUGUUUGUUUCUCUACUAUGAUUGUAUGUUCUGUUCACAUUGAGAUAUGAGAUUUUGUACUGAUCGACAUUGACUUGCAA